AUUGAACGCUGGCGGCAGGCCUAACACAUGCAAGUCGAGCGGAUGAAGGUAGCUUGCUCCUGGAUUCAGCGGCGGACGGGUGAGUAAUGCCUAGGAAUCUGCCUGGUAGUGGGGGAUAACGUCCGGAAACGGGCGCUAAUACCGCAUACGUCCUGAGGGAGAAAGUGGGGGAUCUUCGGACCUCACGCUAUCAGAUGAGCCUAGGUCGGAUUAGCUAGUUGGUGGGGUAAAGGCCUACCAAGGCGACGAUCCGUAACUGGUCUGAGAGGAUGAUCAGUCACACUGGAACUGAGAGACGGGCCAGACUCCUACGGGAGGCAGCAGUGGGGAAUAUUGGACAAUGGGCGAAAGCCUGAUCCAGCCAUGCCGCGUGUGUGAAGAAGGUCUUCGGAUUGUAAAGCACUUUAAGUUGGGAGGAAGGGCAGUAAGUUAAUACCUUGCUGUUUUGACGUUACCAACAGAAUAAGCACCGGCUAACUUCGUG
rnacentral:rRNA from 1 species